rnacentral:tRNA from 1 species
CGGGACGUGGCGCAGUCUGGAAGCGCACCGGCUUUGGGAGCCGGGGGUCGCGAGUUCAAAUCUCGCCGUCCCGACCA